AACCAUAGAAACCUGCGGAGUACCUGCGGAGGGAUCAUUACAAGUGACCCCGGUUUACCACCGGGAUGUUCAUAACCCUUUGUUGUCCGACUCUGUUGCCUCCGGGGCGACCCUGCCUUCGGGCGGGGGCUCCGGGUGGACACUUCAAACUCUUGCGUAACUUUGCAGUCUGAGUAAACUUAAUUAAUAAAUUAAAACUUUUAACAACGGAUCU
rnacentral:misc_RNA from 1 species